AAUGUUAUUUGUCACAUACGCUGAAUACAACAGGUGUAGAUCUUAACGUGAAAUGCUUACUGACAAGCCCUUAACCAACAACGUAGAUAAGAAAAAUAAGUGUUAAGAAAAUGUUUCCUAAAUAAACUAAAGAAAAAAAAAGCAACAAAAUAAAAUAAAAAUAACGAGGCAAAUGAGUACAGAGUCAAUGUAGAGGCUAUAUACAGGGGGUACCAGUACAGAGUCAAUGUGGAGGCUAUAUACAGGGGGUACCAGUACAGAGUCAAUGUGGAGGCUAUAUACAGGGGGUACCAGUACAGAGUCAAUGUGGAGGCUAUAUACAGGGGGUACCAGUACAGAGUCAAUGUGGAGGCUAUAUACAGGGGGUACCAGUACAGAGUCAAUGUGGAGGCUAUAUACAGGAGGUACCAGUACAGAGUCAAUGUGGAGGCUAUAUACAGGAGGUACCAGUACAGAGUCAAUGUGGAGGCUAUAUACAGGGGGUACCAGUACAGAGUCAAUGUGGAGGCUAUAUACAGGGGGUACCAGUACAGAGUCAAUGUGGAGGCUAUAUACAGGGGGUACCAGUACAGAGUCAAUGUGGAGGCUAUAUACAGGAGGUUCCAGUACAGAGUCAAUGUGGAGGCUAUAUACAGGAGGUACCAGUACAGAGUCAAUGUGGAGGCUAUAUACAGGAGGUACCAGUACAGAGUCAAUGUGGAGGCUAUAUACAGGAGGUACCAGUACAGAGUCAAUGUGGAGGCUAUAUACAGGGGGUACCAGUACAGAGUCAAUGUGGAGGCUAUAUACAGGAGGUACCAGUACAGAGUCAAUGUGGAGGCUAUAUACAGGGGGUACCAGUACAGAGUCAAUGUGGAGGCUAUAUACAGGGGGUACCAGUACAGAGUUAAUGUGGAGACUAUAUACAGGAGGUACCAAUCAGGCCUUUAUGGUAGAGUGGCCAGAUGGAAGCCACUCCUCAGUAAAAAGGCAUAUGACAGCCAGCUUGGAGUUUGCCAAAAGGCACCUAAAGACUCUCAGACCAUGAGAAACAAGAUUCUCUGGUCCGGUGAAACCAAGAUUGAACUCUUUGGCCUGAAUGCCAAGUGUCACGUAAGGGCUAUUUUACCAAGAAUGAGAGUGGUGGAGUUCUGCAUCUGAUGACCUGGCCUCCACAAUCCCCUGGCCUCAGCCCAAUUGAGAUGGUUUGAGAUGAGGCGGACCGCAGAGUGAAGCAAAAGCAGCCAACAAGUGCUCAGCAUAUGUGGGAACUCCUUC